GACCCCAGGAAGUGACCUCACUUCCCUGGCGACAGAGGCCAACGGAACUUGGAAGCUGGGGAGCCGGGCACCUACUGGUCCAGUCCAGGAGAGGACGGAGGAGGGAUGGACUGGCUCUGCUGCAUCCCGCUCUCCCGAGGCCGAGCCGAGGCCGAGGCCGCAGGCGUCGUCACGGCAGAGAUGGCCUCUGCCAAGCCUGCAGAACCUGGAUGAGAACGCGAGGCGGACGCCUAUGGGCCGUUGCCCGCAGGGACCCAGAGAGUCCCCCACCUGAGACCCGCCAGGAACAGGGUGAGGAAGGCAGAAGGCCACCCGAGGAACCUCCACACAGACUGCUCCCCGGGGUCCUCUGCCAGGCUGGUGGGGAGCACAGGAGCACCAGCUGUGGCCAUGAAGACACCGUCCACAUGAGCCUGACAACCCUGGAAGGCCUGGCCCCCCCUGAGGCCCAGCCUGAAGGAGACCUGGAAUCCGAGGCCAAGACGCCAGCCGAGCCGAAAGACCCUGGAGCAGCCCCCAGAGGAGGUCCAGAACCACAGGAGGACUCAGCACCCGGGCAGGGAGGACCUCUGGCUCUUUCAGAGGGACGCCCACGUCCUCAUGGGGACUCACCUCCCGGGGAGGAUGAACCCUCUGCUCCUCUCCCAAGAGGCCCAGCUCCUCUUGAGGAGCCACCACCAGGGCAGGGUGGAACCAAGGCGCCACCUGCAGGAGGACCAGGCCCCCACGAAGACUCAGCUCAUGGGCAGGAUCAACCUGCUGCUCCUCCUGAAGGAAGACCAGAGCCUCAUGAGGUCUCACCUCCCAGGCAGGAUGAAAAUCCUGCUCUUCCUACAGGAGGACGAGGCUCUCAGGAAGACUCAGCAGCCGGGCAGGAUGAAAAUCCUGCUCCUCCUCCUGGAGGACGAGGAUCUCAGGAGGACUCACGAGCCGGGCAGGAUGAAAAUGCUUCUCCUCCUCCUGGAGGACGAGUCUCUCAGGAGGACUCACGAGCCGGGUGGGAUGAAAAUGCUUCUCCUCCUCCUGGAGGACAAGGCUCUCAGGUGGACUCACCAGCCAGGCAGAAUGAAAAUCCUGCUCCUCCUCCUGGAGGACGAGGCUCUCAGAAGGACUCAUCAGCCAGGAAGGAUGAAAAUCUGGCUAAUCCUCCUGGAGGACGAGGCCCUCAGGAUGUCUCACCAGCCGGUCAGGAUGAACAUUCUGCUCCUCCUACAGGAGGACAAGGCUCUCAUGAGGACUCAGUAGCCGGGCAGGAUGAAAAUCCAGCUCCUCCUACAGGAGGACCAGGCUCUCAUGAGGACUCACCAGCCGGACCCGAUGAAAAUCCUGCUCCUCCUGCUGGACUACGAGACUCUCAUGAGGACUCACUAGCUAGGCGGGAUGAAAAUCCUGUUCCUCCUCCUGAAGGACGAGGCUCUCAUGAUGUCUCACCAGCCGGGCAGGUGGAACAUCCUGCUCCUACUACAGGAGAACGAGGCUCUCAUGAGGACUCACCAGCUGGGCAGGAUGAAUACCCGGCUCCUCCUACAGGAGGACGAGGCUCUCAUGCAGAUGCACUGGCCUUGCCGGAUGAAUAUCCUUCUCCUCCUCCUGGAGGACGAAGCUCUCAUGAGGACUCAUCAGCCGGGCCCAAUGAAAAUCCUGCUCUUCCUCCUGGAUUACGAGGCUCUCAUGACGACUCAGCAGCCGUGCAGGAUGUAAAUCCUGCUCCUCCUCCUGGAGGACGAGGCUCUCAUGAGGACUCAGAAGCCAGGCAGGAUGAACAUCCUGCUCCUCCUCCUGGAGGACGAGGCUCUCAGGAGGACUCACGAGCUGGGAAGGAUGAAAAUCUUGUUCCUCCUCCUGGAGGACGAGGCUCUCAUGAUGUCUCACCAGCCGGGCAGGUUGAACCUCCUUCUCCUCCUCCAGGAGGACGAGGCUCUCAUGAUGUCUCACCAGCCGGGCAAAAUGAACAUCCUGCUCCUCCUACAGGACGAUGCUCUCAUGCAGACACACCAGCCCAGCAGGAUCAAGAUCCUGCUCCUCCUCCUGGAGGACGAGGCUCUCAGGAGGACCCCCCAACCGGGCAGGAUGAAAGUGCUGCUCCUCCUCCAGUUGGACGAGGCUCUCAGGAGGACUCACCAGCCGGACAGGAUGAAAAACCUGCUCCUCCUCCUCGAGGACGAGGCUCUCAGGAGGACUCACGAGCUGGGUGGGAUGACAAUGCUUCUCCUCCUCCUGGAGGACAAGGCUCUCAGGUGGACUCACCAGCCAGGCAGAAUGAAAAUCCUGCUCCUCCUCCUGGAGGACGAGGCUCUCAGAAGGACUCAUCAGCCGGGAAGGAUGAAAAUCUGGAUAAUCCUCCUGGAGGACAAGGCUCUCUGGAGGACUCAGCAGCCGUGCAGGAUGAACAUUCUGCUCCUCCUACAGGAGGACAAGGCUCUCCUGAGGACUCAGCAGCCGUGCAGGAUGAACAUCCUGCUCCUCCUCCCGGAGGACGAGGCUCUCAGGAGGACUCAGCAGCCGUGCAGGAUAAACAUCCUGCUCCUCCUCCUAGAGGACCAGGCUCUCCUGAGGACUCACGUGGCGGGCAGGUUGAAAUUCCUGCUCCUCCUCCAGGAGGACGAGGCUCUCAGGAGGACUCACUUGCUGGGCAGGAUGAAAAUCCGGCUAAUCCUCCUGGAGGACGAGGCUCUCACGAGGACUCACUAGCUGGGCAGGAUGAGAAUCCUGCUAGUCCUCCAGAAGUCUCCCGUCCACUCGAACCCUCACCAGCCCUGCAGGGGGCACUUGGCGCUGCUCUGGCCAAAUUCCCGGACACUGAUGUGCCUUUCCCUGUGCUAGAUGGCAACGUUGUCCCGGCCUCUGCUGGGGACAAAGGGCCCGAGGAGCAUUCAGCAGCCCUUUGGGGAGUGCCUGCCCUGACUGCUCCCGCACCCCCUGUACCAGGUCCUGGCCUGGCUCUUUCAAGAACCCUCGGCCCAGUUCCAAAACCACCUUCCCCAAGGUCCCCUCCGCCCCUGCCAG
rnacentral:lncRNA from 9 species